AUUGAACGCUAGCGGGAUGCCUUACACAUGCAAGUCGAACGGAGUGGCGAACGGGUGAGUAAUGUAUCGGAACGUGCCCAGUAGCGGGGGAUAACUACGCGAAAGCGUAGCUAAUACCGCAUACUAUUGGAGCCGCCGCUAUCGGAUUAGGCAGUGGGGGGUGUAACGGCUCAACAAGGCGACGAUCGCGAGCUGGUUUGAGAGGACGACCAGCCACACUGGGACUGAGACACGGCCCAUAAUCCUACGGGAGUCAGCAGUGGUGAAUGUGGGACAAUGGGGGAAACCCUGAUACAGCCAUCCCGCUUAGGCGAUGAAGGCCGUCGGGUUGUAAAGCACUUUUGGCAGGAAAGCGGUACCUGCAGAAGAAGCACCGGCUAACUACGUGCCAGCAGCCGCGGUAAUUC
rnacentral:rRNA from 1 species